UUUUCCAGAUCGAUUCUGUUAAAGUUUAUGCAGAAAAAAAAAAGAAGGAAAAAAGAAAGAAAAGAGAAAGAAGAAAACCAACAACUCUGUUUCUAAGAUUUUAAAGCGAUAGACAAGUCGAAGCAGCAGAGAUUUAUUUGGAGAGAAAGCUCCUGAAACCGACUCAGCCUUUUGGAAGACCAGCCCGCCCACCUGGAAGUUAGGACUGUUGAUUCCUUCAAUUAAUGAAGUGCAUUUGGUGUUGUUAAUCGUAUUUAUUUUACUUUAUGAGAGUGGGGGAGACGCUAGGAGGGUGCCUUAAAAAAAAAAAAAUUCCGAAAAGCCUGCAAAAGGAUCGAAGAGUGCGAACUAUGGUUGGAGCGAGUUGGUUUCUACCUCAACAGCGCCACCUUUCGGCAAAGAAGAGAUAUAAAAAAUCAGAUGUUUUCUUCAAUGAGAAUUCUGGGAAGGUGUACCAGACUUCUUCUCUUUCUUCACCCGACAAAGACACCCAACACAGCCUCGCAGAUCGGAGGUGUUUAAUACAUCGUUUUAUGCACACACGAACGUGUGGGUUUUAGACAAUAGACAGAGCUAUAAAAUCACCAUGGGGCCUGUUUUCCCCAUUCUUGUCAUUUUAAAUCAACAGAUUUCCCGGGUUUCUCCUCCCCACCGCCCCCACUUUCCUUUUCCAGGGCACAGGUAUUCCUUCGAUUUUUCUUUUCCUUCAGUGAGGGUCUCCUUUGUGAAGCCUUCUUCCACAGUCAUCCUUUUUCAUCCUAUUCACAGCCCAUACUGGUGAGGGAAUUUGUCUCAAAAGCAUUCAGCCCUUCAAAGAUUUUUAUUGUGGUGAACUCAGAACUGAUUAACAGAAAAACAGGAAUAGAAAAAGGGACCUGAUGUGGGGACGAUCCUUCUGUGGGUUGCGUCUUUUAUGCAUGAUAACUCAGAGGACAGGCUCCUCGUCCGUCUGUGAUGUGGUAAUGCUAGCUCUGACCCUCCUUCCUAGCCCUGGGGGUGGGGUGAGUCAUCGCUCCUGUUCCAAAGGCAUGUAGCAGCCAUUCGACCCAGGAAAGAAAUGGAGUUUUAGAAAAUCCAGACCCAACACAGAGACUCCUGUGAUUACCAGGAUGAGCACGGCAACGCAGGUGGCUUCUGAAUUUCUGUUUCUGAGUUUGUUUGGCUGAGGGCCCUGAGCAAAGGGCAUCCCUUAUGGCCCUGUUUUGUACCUUAGUUCUUGGUGGCAUCAUGGGUGUUGCUGAUCUCUCUGAUGUGUUUUUCUGUGCAUCGAAAGCACCGGACAUGCCAGGUGACAUCCUAGCAGCAUCCCCCACCAUGAUGGAGUGUCCCUGGUCUGACAAAGAAUGGAAAACUGGGCUAACCUCCCCAUCCACCCAAAAUAAAAUUAGAGUAAAAUUUAUAAACCUGC
rnacentral:lncRNA from 1 species